UGAUCAUGGCUCAGAUUGAACGCUGGCGGGAUGCUUUUACACAUGCAAGCUCAACGGCGCAGCACGGACUUCGGUCUGGUGAAGAGUGGCGAACGGGUGCGAGUACGUAUCGGAACGUGCCUAGUAGCGGGGAUAACUACGCGAAAGCGAAGCACACCGUAUACGCCCUUCGGGGGAAAGCGGGGACCUUUCUUGGGCCUCGCACUAUUAGAGCGGCCGAUAUCGGAUUAGCAAGGUUGGUGGGGUAACGGCUCACCAAGGCGACGAUCCGUAGCUGGCUGAGAGGACGACCAGCCACACUGGGACUGAGACACGGCCCAGACUCCUACGGGAGGCAGCAGUGGGGAAUUUUGGACAAUGGGAAACCCCUUGAUCCAGCCAUCCAAGUGUGUGUGAUGAAGGCCUUCGGUUGUAAAGCACUUUUGGCAGGGAAAGAAACGGCACGGAUAAUACCCCGUGCAACUGACGGUACCUGCAGAAUAAGCACCGGCUAACUACGUGCCAGCAGUCGCGGUAAUACGUAGGGUGCAAGCGUUAAUCGGAAUUACUGGGCGUAAAGCGUGCGCAGGCGGUUCGAAAGAAAGACGUGAAAUCCCAGAGCUUAACUUUGAGCUGUGCAUUUUUAACUACUGAGCUAGAGUGUGUCAGGAGGGAGGUGGAAUUCCGCGUGUAGCAGUGAAAUGCGUAGAUAUGCGGAGGAACACCGAUGGCGAAGGCAGCCUCCUGGGAUAACACUGAUCGCUCAUGCACGAAAGCGUGGGGAGCAAACAGGAUUAGAUACCCUGGUAGUCCACGCCGUCCUCAAACGAUGUCAACUAGCUGUUGGGGCCUUCGGGCCUGGUAGCGCAGCUAAUGCAGGUGAAGUUGACCGCCUGGGGAGUACGGUCGCAAGAUUAAAACUCAAAGGAAUUGACGGGGACCACACAAGCGGUGAUGAUGUGGAUUAAUUCGAUGCAACGCGAAAAACCUUACCUACUCCCGACAUGUCUGAAUCCCGAAGAGAUUUGGGAGUGUUCUGCAAGAGAACCGGAACACAGGUGUUGCAUGGCUGUCGCCGCCUUUGUGUCGUGAGAUGCUGGGUUAAGUCCCGUAAUCGAGCGCAACCUUGUCAUUAGUUGCCACGAAAGGGCACUCUAAAUGAGACUGCCGGUGACAAACCGAGGAAGGAUGAUUGCCGGAGUCCUCAUGGCCCUUAUGGGUAGGGCUUCACACGUCAUACAAUGGUCGAGACAGAGGGUCGCCAACCCGGCGAGGAGCCAAUCCCAGAAACCCGAUCGUAGUCCGGACCGCAGUCUGCAACUCGGGAUCAGGAAUGUCGCAACUGCUAGUAAUCGCGGAUCAAAGGCGGUCGCGGUGAAUACGUUCCCGGUCUUGUACACACUGCCCGUCACACCAUGGGGAGUGGGUUUUACCAGAAGUAGUUAGUCAACCGUAUGAGGGCGAUUACCACGGUAGGAUUCAGACUGGGGUGAAGUCGUAACAAGGUAA
rnacentral:rRNA from 1 species